rnacentral:ribozyme from 1 species
UGCCCAGCCAAUGGCAGCAGCACCUGCGCCGGCGACUGUGCCAGCACCUGAAAC